UUGUUCAGAUUCUUUGCAUACCUGGACCAGGCGAAACCUUUUAGGGAUUGAAAGAGAACCACACCAUGAAGGAAGAACAUGCACUUUCACAGCCGACAGACUGACAUUGUGAAAAUGGUUCGUGAAAACAACACUAUCACACUCCGACAGAUACAAACCAGGAUCCUGGCUGAUCAUGCCACAUUCAGAAACAUCCAGACCGUCAGCCUCUCGACACUGGACCGUGUUCUCUGCAGGAAUGCCAUGCGGAUGAAACAAGUGUGCAGGGUCCCAUUCGACCGGAACACAGACCACAUCAAGGAGUUACGGCGAGAGUUUGUGCUUCGGAUCCAGGAGCAUGACAAAGCUAAUGAGCUAUAUGAAUACAUAUUCAUUGAUGAGGUUGGAUUCAACCUGGUGAAGAGGAGGCACCGGGGCAGACAUGUCAUUGGCCAGCGUGCUAUUGUUGAGGUCCCCGGCCAGCGUGGUGGGAACAUCACUUUGUGUGCUGCAAUGGGUUGAGCAGGCCCGUUGACAGUACUGUACUGUUCAGAAAUAAAACUUUUUUUGCUGCAUAUGUGUGCUGUUUUAUGUUCGACUAUGAAAAAAAGUAGGCCUACACUGAGACAUUUUACAAAAGGAGAAAUGGCUCAUUCUCCAGAGUCAUUGUCAUUCAUAUAGGCCGCAAGGUGAACCAAAAGUAUUUUAGAAAAUGAUUCCCACUCCACAGUCUGGCAUCUACACAAUAUGUAGCUCAUAAAAAAGAACGAGUCGUGCUUAGCUACGAAAAAAAAGUUUGUCGC